UAAAAUAGAUGAUACCAAAGCGCAUCGUCUCUGCUGGCUUGGCCACCUCGAAAGGAUGGGUGAAGAUUGGGCAGCCAAAAGGCCUACUUGGAUUGACAAACUGGACGCCGUCCUGUUAGUCAUCGUAAAUAUCGUUGGGCGGAUAGAGUGGAGGCAGAUCUCCGUGAGCUCGGCGUCGGCGAAAGCUGGCGUGAUAUCGCUCUGGACCGAGUAAAGUGGCGUGCUCUUGUGUUGAAGGCCAAGACUCAUUUUGGAUCAUCUCGCCAACCAAAUAAG